AAGAGCUGCUUUCACACCCUAAUGAAAAAAAAAAUUAAUCUAAACAAGGAAAAAUAAAAAUCUUGUCGCACCCUAGAUUUAAAUCCCGUUGCUAUCUCCAAUCUCGGUUGCUCUUCUUGGAUUGACCAUCCUAGCAGCGAUUCUUGUCUACCACCAUACCAACUGCUCUCCGUUGCUAUGCAAUCGGUUCUUUAUACGAGUCUCUCUCCAAUUAGAAACCCAGAUCUGAACCCAGUUGCUGACAACCAGAUCGUUGGUCAAUAGAUGCUUUCAGGGGAACCCCCAGCAGAGGAAACGCUCUCCCUUUUAUCUCUCUCUGCAAUCUCUAGCUGAUGUCGAGAAUAUAUUGUAUAUUUUGCCCCUCUAUUGUGCAGAACACACUGAGCAAGGAGCUUCUCUGCCUUGCGUUUGAUUGUGCUGGGAAUAUAUUGUAUAUUUUGCUUUCUCUGCCUUGUGUUUAUUCUAAGUACAUUGUGUAACUUAUUGUACCUUCUUCCAUUCAUUUUGAUUUGCAUCUUGAUGUGAAAAUUAACUUGACACACAAAUUAAACGCUAUUGUUGAC